rnacentral:rRNA from 1 species
CCUACGGGAGGCAGCAGUGGGGAAUUUUGGACAAUGGGCGAAAGCCUGAUCCAGCAAUGCCGCGUGAGUGAAGAAGGCCUUCGGGUUGUAAAGCUCUUUUGUCAGGGAAGAAACGGUGAGAGCUAAUAUCUUUUGCUAAUGACGGUACCUGAAGAAUAAGCACCGGCUAACUACGUGCCAGCAGCCGCGGUAAUACGUAGGGUGCAAGCGUUAAUCGGAAUUACUGGGCGUAAAGCGUGCGCAGGCGGUUUUGUAAGUCUGAUGUGAAAUCCCCGGGCUCAACCUGGGAAUUGCAUUGGAGACUGCAAGGCUAGAAUCUGGCAGAGGGGGGUAGAAUUCCACGUGUAGCAGUGAAAUGCGUAGAUAUGUGGAGGAACACCGAUGGCGAAGGCAGCCCCCUGGGUCAAGAUUGACGCUCAUGCACGAAAGCGUGGGGAGCAAACGGGAUUAGAUACCCUGGUAGUCCACGCCCUAAACGAUGUCUACUAGUUGUCGGGUCUUAAUUGACUUGGUAACGCAGCUAACGCGUGAAGUAGACCGCCUGGGGAGUACGGUCGCGAAGAUUAAAACUCGAAAGGAAUUGACGG